rnacentral:lncRNA from 1 species
GUGUUCAGUGAACUCAUUCUCUAUUGAGCACCUACAUACUUGUCUUGACGUCACACACACCAAUGACUCGAGACUAGUCACUCUCCCUGAGAGAAGACACAGCACGUACUGAUCUUAACGGACUGUCAAUGCCAAUUGGCAAUCCUAUGAUCAGGAACGUUUAGGAUGUGUCUACGAAAGAAUGGUCUCAUGAAUCUAACUUCUUUAGAUCGUAUUCUCCCAAUCACAUAUUCCUUGGACUUAUCAUUUAAGCAUAUAACAUUUAUAUGAGACGGCUUAAAACAAUAAUCUAUGCCCUUGAUAUUAAACUAGAUUAGUUUA